GGACCUGACUGCUAUCGGAUUGAUACUAAGCCAUGCGAGUCAUUGUAGCAAUACAAGGCAUACGGCUCAGUAACGCGUAGUCAACCUAACCUAUGGACGGGAAUAACCUCGGGAAACUGAGAAUAAUGCCCGAUAGAACAUUAUGCCUGGAAUGGUUUAUGUUCCAAAUGAUUUAUCGCCGUAGGAUGGGACUGCGGCCUAUCAGUUUGUUGGUGAGGUAAUGGCCCACCAAGACUAUUACAGGUACGGGCUCUGAGAGGAGUAGCCCGGAGAUGGGUACUGAGACACGGACCCAGGCCCUAUGGGGCGCAGCAGGCGAGAAAACUUUGCAAUGUGCGAAAGCACGACAAGGUUAAUCCGAGUGGUUUCUGCUAAAGAAACCUUUUGUCAGUCCUGGAAACACUGAUGAAUAAGGGGUGGGCAAGUUCUGGUGUCAGCC
rnacentral:rRNA from 1 species